CAGGUGACUUUCAUUUCACUUAUUGGGUUUUGUGAAGGAAUCUUAUCAAUAGGGAAUUUCCCAAGGGCGAGACCCCUCGUCCACUCGGAAGAAAACAUUCCAUUCCUCCCCGCGGCCUACUACGCUCCGACGGGUAAUAAAUUUUACAUGCAGCUAUCGGAGAUAAACAAAAAAACUCCGAAAUAUGUGAGCAUCCGUAAAUUGAUGGGCAGUUUCUUGCCAGCAGACGCUCCAAAAAAAUGCUGUGGGAAUGAAUGGGUAGCCGAUGAUCAGGAAGUGCAUCUCGUACACGUUUCAGUUUUAGUGCCGACGACUUCGCCCCUUUUCUAUGGAUACCGAAAAUCGGAGGACGUCAAACCGGUUACAGAAUACAUUGAAGAUGACUUACAGUACGAUUUCCGAACAAAAACCCACUCGAUCCGAUAGAGAAGUACAUGCCUACCGCAUCAUGAUUCUUUUGUUCGGUAAUAAUGUUAAGUCAACAUGUCAAAAUUUGAUUGAACGUUGCUUUGGAGUGGUUUGUAGGAACAGACGAGAGUAAUUUACUUUUUCUGGGCAUGGAUAUCUUCAUUUGUUCUUCUGUACUUUUAGCUCACUACCUCCCAAUAAAGCGUUUGUGUUAACUAGGCUAGUGAUCUAAUGACUUUCACCAUCCGAUUGUUUCAUGUCAUUUGUGUAGUGUUUGGUUCGGAAUAUUUUAUUACUAGGUACAGCAUGUUUUAUCAUGUAUCUAAUAUGUCAGAAAGUUUAGAAAUAAUUCAUAUUCGACAUUGAAAAACUUCUUUUCGAGCCCUGAAGAAGAAAUUAGUUAGUUUGAAAUGUUGUCAAAAAAAGCAAUUAUUUUUCUGAGAAUAAAUGAUACUGUUACCCGAUCAACCUCUAUGGAAAUUAUAAUUAUGAUUAUUG